rnacentral:rRNA from 1 species
UGAGGAAUAUUGGUCAAUGGGCGAGAGCCUGAACCAGCCAAGUCGCGUGAAGGAUGACGGCCCUACGGGUUGUAAACUUCUUUUGUCAGGGAGCAAUUGAGUCCACGUGUGGGCUUAGCGAGAGUACCUGAAGAAAAAGCAUCGGCUAACUCCGUGCCAGCAGCCGCGGUAAUACGGAGGAUGCGAGCGUUAUCCGGAUUUAUUGGGUUUAAAGGGUGCGUAGGCGGCGAGUUAAGUCAGCGGUAAAAGCCCGGGGCUCAACCCCGGCCCGCCGUUGAAACUGGCUGGCUUGAGUUGGGGAAAGGCAGGCGGAAUGCGCGGUGUAGCGGUGAAAUGCAUAGAUAUCGCGCAGAACCCCGAUUGCGAAGGCAGCCUGCCGGCUCCACACUGACGCUGAGGCACGAAAGCGUGGGUAUCGAAC